AUACCUAUGUGCCUCGGCGUAGGCGGCUCUUCACUGAGGCCCCCGGAGACGGGGAGCAGCCCGCCGGCGGCCAAGUUAACUCUUGUUUUUACACUGAAACUCUGAGAAAAAAACAUAAAUGAAUCAAAACUUUCAACAACGGAUCUCUUGGUUCUGGCAUCGAUGAAGAACGCAGCGAAAUGCGAUAAGUAAUGUGAAUUGCAGAAUUCAGUGAAUCAUCGAAUCUUUGAACGCACAUUGCGCCCUCUGGUAUUCCGGAGGGCAUGCCUGUUCGAGCGUCAUUUCAACCCUCAAGCCUGGCUUGGUGAUGGGGCACUGCCUGUAAAAGGGCAGGCCCUGAAAUCUAGUGGCGAGCUCGCCAGGACCCCGAGCGUAGUAGUUAUAUCUCGCUUUGGAAGGCCCUGGCGGUGCCCUGCCGUUAAACCCCCAACUUCUGAAAAUUUGACCUCGGAUCAGGUAGGAAUACCCGGUGAAAUUUAGCAUAUCAAUAAGCGGAGG
rnacentral:rRNA from 1 species